CAAUGGCUUUGGAAGAGAGAUGGGAGACCAGCUUGGGUUUUUACACACUUUGUGGCAUUCCAAGAGUUUUGGGAGCUGUUGAUGGAACAUUAAUGCCCAUCAUAACACCCCAUGACAAUGAGGAAGUGUAUGUUUGCAGAAGAGGUUUCCAUGCCCUAAACAUACAAGCUGUUGUCAAUUCAAAUAUGAGGUUCAAUGAUGUUGUGUCCAGAUGAAGAUUUGCAAAUGAUGCAGGCAUUUUUGAUAACUGUGGUUUGAAGAGACACCUAGAGCUUAACAAUGUAGGGAUGUUGUUGGGAGAUAGCGGCUACCCAUUACGUCACUACCUCAUGACCCCAGUUCUGCAGCUCCAAGGGAGACAGCAGACAGCUUACAAUGUUGCUCAUGCAAGGGGGAGGGUCGUUGUGGAACAAGCCUUUGGACUUUUGAAGUCAAGGUUUAGGUAAAUGAUGGAAUAAGCUAGAACAUCAAUAUAUGUAUAUUCCUGUAAACAACCGUGACUCCGCUGAAUAUAUUGUUUCAUCCAAUGUGAAGAUUUUUGACAAACUUGAAACUAUUAAUUGAAAAUGAAGUAAUAAUUGACUUGCCUAAAUUAUUUGACCACCAUUGGCCUCUGCAUCACUUAUGCUUAUGUCUGAAACAGUAAAUAAAUUACUUAGAACUUAGAAAAAUCACCAUGACAUUAUUCUUUAAAUGUGUAUAAGAAAGAUGUUUUGAUACAUUCUAUGUUAAGAUAUGUUUAUUUGAUUAUAAAUAACUUGACCAUACAGAUUGUAGACAUAUUUUGUUUCUGUUCCAAAUUUUGGCGAAUGCAAGUAAAUGUAAGGCCCACAUCU